UACUCUUCGUAGCAAAUACUAGCUGUUUACCACUGACCAGAAUGUGGUGGCUUUGCUCUAGGUUGGGGGACACGGGAGCAGACAGUGAUCAUCUUUAUUACCUCAUGGUCUAGUUACAGUGCAUGGUACAGAGGUAAUAAUAAAGGUGAUCGUGUCAGGUGGAGACCCUGCAGCAGAUAGGAUGAUGGAAGGGGACCCAACUCUCCUGGAUGAGGUAGGUGAAUUAAACUGAAGGUUUGCCAGUUUCAGUGAACAAGGUGCUUUUCCCUUGUGUUGGGUUUCUAUGACUUUUUUCACCCAUCUUUGUGUUUUGGUGGUGGCCAGCCCUGUAUAUUGCCACUUAGCUGAUAUGGACUCCCAUCUGCCUCUGACAGUUGCCUGCUGUGUGGCCUUGAGCAUGUCAUUGAACCUCUCUGGGUGUUAGUUUCUUCAUCUGUAACAUGAGAAUAAUAACACUUCAUAAAUUCAUUAGCAAGACUAAACAUAAUCAUGCCUAUGAAAGUGUGGUAGCCUCUAAAACAUUACGCAAAUAGCCAAGUAUUAUCAUUAUUUCUGUUAGUAAUGAAACAAUAUAUGCGUGUCAGAUAAUAAGGUGGAAAGCCGAGCAACUUCAGGAUGGUGCUGUAGCAUUACCAUGCCUUAAGAAGUACCAUGGAUGAGGCAGCAGGCAUGCAAUUACAGAAAAAUAAACCUUUAGUCAAACAAAAGAAGCCACUGAAAGAACUGAAAACCCCUUCCUAGUCCCAGCUAAAUUCCCAGGGAAGAUUUAGGACCUGUGUUUGUCCUGAGUUAGUGGAUGGUCUUGGCCAGUUUGCCAUCUGUAGUGUUUCAGGGGGGUACAUAUGCAGGUUUGUUAACAUAGGCAUAUUAUAUAAUGCUGGGGUUUGGGCUUCUAUUGAAUCCCUCACCCAAAUAAUGAACACAGCACUCAAGAGAGUGUUUUUCAGCCCUUGCCCUUUCCCUCCCUCCUCCUUUUUGGAAACCCCAGUAUCUAUUGUUGCCAUCUUUACGUUCAUGUAUACCCAUUGUUUAGCUCCCACUUGUAAGUGUGAAUGUGCAGUAUUUGAUUUUUUGUUUCUGCGUUAAAUCACUUAGGAUAAUGGCCUCCGGCUGCAUCCAUCAACAUAUACAAUCUUUACAACAAAUAUAUGGCACAGGUCUGCUGGCCAGUCUCUUAUUAAUACUGCAAGGCAACCUAAACUAUAUUUUGUUGGGAAAGUGGAAGAGCGAAGGCAGGUGUUGAAAAGCCAUGAAAAAAAGAAUUAAAACAAAAAUGUGCCUCAGGCUCCUUUCAGCUGGCAGCAGAAUUUCCGUCAUCUUUCCCUUUUGAAUUUGAUAUUAUUGCAGGAACAUUACCACGGACUCAAUUUUCACUUGACAGUGAAAUACCAGAAGUCGUCUCGGGUCCGGAGUGCUGUCUGCAUCCAGUCCCUGUUAAUCUGCAGAAGGAAAGCAUGGAGAUGGGGGACUGACUUUUGCUUUCUGUCUAAAUCCAUUUUGCCUGGACGACGACUUCAUGGCAUCCCUCCAGAAUGACUUGCCCUGCCCAACUCAUCAUCCUUACACAUGCCUAGAGGCCAGAUGAUGGGUUAGGCUACGGGGAAAGGAGCACAGGCAAGUCUUGAGUGUGGAGAUCCUUACAGUCUCCUUACAUUGAUUGAGGCUCAAGGAGGAUGUCAGCAGAGGUCCCACCAAGUCAUUCGUUAAUGACUGACACUAAACCCCUGGGGAGGAGUUGUAAGUUUUCAGAGAAGUUUCUGCCUCUUGGUAAAACCUUCAAGGAAAGGCCCUUUGAACUUUUCUCUAUGUAGUGAUAGAGAAAAGCCAAACCUGUAACUAGCCUUUGCUUCUAGAUGUAAUUCUCUAAAAUCUUGACCUCCAACAUGGCUCUCCAACAGCUAUGAUAAAAGGUAUGUGUAGGAGGUCAGGAACAUGUGAUUAAAAUAAAAACAGUUCCUCAAGAGCUGGGACUGUGC
rnacentral:lncRNA from 1 species